AAAAUAAAUCUAUUCCUUUUUUUUUUUUUUAGUACUUCGCUUUUUAUGCAUUGUUGCUUAGGUAGUAAGUCCAAAGAUCUGAUGCUAAUUUUGCUACCUUAUAUUUUUGUUGUUCUGCAAUGAAUUCUGGGAAAUUAUGGAUGGAGAUCUUAUGUAUAUGACAUAUAUACCUCCAUUCACCCAUUUUGUACAAGAAAGUGUUGCUUAGAUAUAUGGUGACACUUCCCACCUGAGUCGUGUUUUUUUGGAAUAAUUCUGUGUCAUUACUACCUAUAUCUGUUGAGAAGCCUAUGCUUUCAUUUGCUUAAAAGAACUUUUAAAAAUUUCUGUAGCUAGUGAUAUUAAUAGUAUUCAUUCCCUUAAGUUUUGCAACAUUUCUUGAUUUAAUCCAUAGCCUUUGUGUGCAGUUCCGUACCAAAACUAUCUCAUUGUAUUUACCAUUUGGUAAAAACACUUUAUUUUUGCAAAACCUUCUUCACUUCUGGUAUUCCUCUUAAAAUUAAAAUAUUUGUGAGGUGUGAUAGGAUUAGGAAAUGCUAAAUGAAAUUGUCCGUUAGUCAAAGUGUGCGUGUUGACAGCAUGUCUUUCCAUGGCCCUGAGAGGGGCGUAAGCAGUGUGUCAGUUUUAUAUAUUACGGGCAUAAUUUCUAAUUUUUUUGUAGGUUUGCUGUUGUUCAGGAAACACUUCACAUAGAACAGAUAUUUCAAAAUCUUUCUCUCUCAUUCAUUUUAGCAAACAAACAAACAAAAAAAAAAUUACAAAAGAAAAAGGAAACUGAAGAAGUUAAUUGUACCAGAACAGAAUCCAGUGAAGGUAUGAGCAAGACAUAAUGGAUUUCAUUUUCAGUAUGGAUCCACAAAGUCAAAACAUUAGGAUGAUACUUGUAAUUUGUCCUUGGAGUGCUGUUGAAUUCAUUACCAAGCAAAACCUACUGGUGCGGAGCUCUGCAUUGCCCAUGCUUACUAGAUGGUCUGAGGAACUCAUUAUGCAUGUGUAUUUAUUUAUGAUAAAUAAGAAAAGCUAAAUCUAGGUUAACAUUAUUUAUCAAAAAAAAAAAAUCACUUAAAAAUUCUCUAUCUUAAAAGAGAAAGGAUAGUCCACAAAAAUUGUGUAUAGUUACAAUAGUGUAAUAAACUUUCCUGAAUAUCAAGUAUCUACUGAAUU
rnacentral:lncRNA from 1 species